rnacentral:rRNA from 1 species
GUUAAGUCGACCGCCUGGGGAGUACGGCCGCAAGGUUAAAACUCAAAUGAAUUGACGGGGGCCCGCACAAGCGGUGGAGCAUGUGGUUUAAUUCGAUGCAACGCGAAGAACCUUACCUACUCUUGACAUCCAGAGAACUUAGCAGAGAUGCUUUGGUGCCUUCGGGAACUCUGAGACAGGUGCUGCAUGGCUGUCGUCAGCUCGUGUUGUGAAAUGUUGGGUUAAGUCCCGCAACGAGCGCAACCCUUAUCCUUUGUUGCCAGCGGUCCGGCCGGGAACUCAAAGGAGACUGCCAGUGAUAAACUGGAGGAAGGUGGGGAUGACGUCAAGUCAUCAUGGCCCUUACGAGUAGGGCUACACACGUGCUACAAUGGCGCAUACAAAGAGAAGCGACCUCGCGAGAGCAAGCGGACCUCAUAAAGUGCGUCGUAGUCCGGAUUGGAGUCUGCAACUCGACUCCAUGAAGUCGGAAUCGCUAGUAAUCGUGGAUCAGAAUGCCACGGUGAAUACGUUCCCGGGCCUUGUACACACCGCCCGUCACACCAUGGGAGUGGGUUGCAAAAGAAGUAGGUAGCUUAACCUUCGGGAGGGCGCUUACCACUUUGUGAUUCAUGACUGGGGUGAAGUCGUAACAAGGUAACCGUAGGGGAACCUGCGGUUG